AGUGAACGCUGGCGGUAGGCCUAACACAUGCAAGUCGAACGGCAGCACAGUAAGAGCUUGCUCUUACGGGUGGCGAGUGGCGGACGGGUGAGGAAUACAUCGGAAUCUACUUUUUCGUGGGGGAUAACGUAGGGAAACUUACGCUAAUACCGCAUACGACCUACGGGUGAAAGCAGGGGAUCUUCGGACCUUGCGCGAUUGAAUGAGCCGAUGUCGGAUUAGCUAGUUGGCGGGGUAAAGGCCCACCAAGGCGACGAUCCGUAGCUGGCCGGAGAGGAUGAUGGGCCACGAGGGAACAGAGACACGGUCCAGACGCCUACGGGAGGCAGCAGUAGGGAAUAGGUGGAAAUGGGCGAAAGGUGGAAGGAGCAAUGCGGAGGGAGAGAUGAAGGGUCGCGUAUCGUAAAACUCUGCUGUGAGGGAAGAAAAAAUGUGUACGUAACUACGCCCGGCCGGAGGGUAACUAAUCAGAAAGCCACGGCGAACUACGGG
rnacentral:rRNA from 1 species